AGUGAACGCUGGCGGUAGGCCUAACACAUGCAAGUCGAACGGCAGCACAGUAAGAGCUUGCUCUUACGGGUGUCGAGUGGCGGACGGGUGAGUAUUACAUCGGAAUCUACUUUUUCGUGGGGGAUAACGUAGUGAAACUUACGCUAAUACCGCAUACGACCUACGGGUGAAAGCCGGGGAUCUUCGUACCUUGCGCGAUUGAAUGAGCCAAUGUCGGAUUAGCUAGUUGGCGGGGUAAAGGCCCACCAAGGCGACGAUCCGUCGCUGGUCUGAGAGGAUGAUAAGCCACACUGGAACUGAGACACGGUCCAGACUCCUAGGGGAGGCAGCAGUGGGGAAUAUUGGACAAUGGGCGCAAGCCUGAUCCAGCCAUACCGCGUGGGUGAAGAAGGCAUUCGGGUUGUAAAGCCCUUUUGUUGGGAAAGAAAAGAAGCAGGUUAAUACCCCGCUGUUCUGACGGUACCCAAAGAAUAAGCACCGGCUAAAUUCGUG
rnacentral:rRNA from 1 species